GAAGCCAAGAGUAUCUCCCUAACA
rnacentral:siRNA from 1 species